rnacentral:lncRNA from 1 species
CGUUGGGAUUUGCUUCGACGAGGGAUACGGAUAAAAUACAAGCGUAAAACCUCGUUCGUUGCAGUAUAUUUUGAACAAAUAAACAAUUUAUUAGGAAAAUACGUUCAAGAAACGUCUCGUGCUGUACUAGCCUAAUUCUGACAAAUGUUAUUUACUUUCUUCACCUUCGUGUCGACGACUGUUGUUUGCUGAUGGCCAAAUCACGACAGCGGACAUCAAUUAUUCAAAAUAUGUUCUUAUAGCUUCACGUUUACGAUACGAAUGUAAGAUUAUUUCUUUUUUGUAUAUGUAGGUUCUAGUUGAAAGUGACAGCGACGAUGAAAAAAGUGCACACAACAUUGAAAUAUCCAGUUCACUGCUAGCUCAAAUCCUGCGACAUACCACUUGCUAGUAGCCCAGUCUAGUUUAACUUUGCCCAAUCAAGAAUCAUCUCCUGAAUCAGGCAUACUGGCAAUACUGGUUCAUUUGAUAAUGUAAGUUUUUAAACUGGUAUUUUAGAUUUAUAUAGCCUCUGUCAAAUGAGGAUGAAAGUCAUGCAUGAAUUGCUUAUCAAUACACAAAGGACAUAAUUUUCAAGUUCCAGAUGAACAAAAUAUUAUUAAAGCUUUGAUGAGUGUUCUGCAACUAUGUUUCAACUUUAAAAUACUCUCAUCCUCGUUUGACCCAUAAUUAUUUGUUGAUUUUACUCGAUACUAAAUAGUGAAACAUCGAAUCCAGAGAAAAUCUUUAUAUGCAGAACCCACUGUAAUUCCGAGCUGUAAUCACAUAAUUAUAUAAAAGUCGUUUCAGUAGCAGCAAAAGCCAAACUAAACACCAAUCUAGGAUUAAUAGGUUUAGCUUUUAGGCCGAGAAUAAUACACGAUUGACAUUUUUGUGGCUGAUUGAUUAAUUAAUUAAUAGUAUACUGUAUAUUGAUGUUGUUGUUGUAUACAGGACAUCUGACUUACAUGUCAAAUUAAUAGUUGAAUCUAUGAUUAUGCACCUAUCAAUGUUAACCCCGAGGGGGCGGGGGGCGGGCAAAGGGUGGGGAUUUGAUCAAUCAGGUGGUCCCAUGGGUCGGGAUUCGGACUGACAACGAGGGUGGGGAUUUUUGACAGAUUAACACUGAUCUCAGACGAUAUACUGAAGAAACCUGAGCCAAUUUUAGAACAAACUCUGACUCGUCCCCAGUCGUCCGCUGUAAAAAGGGACUGUGGAAGAGUCAGGAACAAACUGAAGACUGGGCACUAGUUUAUCGCUCGCUGUCUUGCGCGUUGUUUUUACAAGAAAUAUGGAGAUUUCUGGACAAGAAAUAAACACUUAUAAUCCAUUUUAUAAUUAUAUUAAUAUCGAUUUAUACUUAUAUGUUAAAAGUUCGCAUUAUGUACUAUUUAAAACACAAGUACGAGUGUGUUUUAUCAGAUAUAAAACGCGAGGCGCACAACUUAAAAUACGACUACAAAAGAAUACUAAUUAGGGCGAACAAUUAUAUAAGAAUACUGACAAUAUAAUUAUAUAAGAAUACUGUGUUUUAUUAGCCUGCGUUCCAGUCCACUACACCGUGGUGUAGCGGACUGGAACACAGGCUAGUGUUAUAUCAGAUAUUAUAAACUCACUUCACGUGACAUUAUAUGGCUGACAUGAUUUGCCGCAAGGUAUAUGAAUUAUUAAUGAGUCUUUUAAGUUAUUUUGAAGCUAAUUCUUUAUAUUUGUUAUACUUUUAAAUUAUAGCGCCAAAUGUAUUUGUGUAAUUUCCUUAUCACCUGACAUAUAGAUUAUAGAUUGCACCAGAAGCCAAAUACCUCAGGAAUACAAUUUCAUCCCGGGGGUGGGCAAUUUUGCCCAGGAAUUUUCUCCCGAGGGAGUGGCAUUUGACAUUUUUUUUUGUAAAAAUGUCAAAUCCCCCCCCCUUGCCCGACCCCCCCCCCUCCCUCGGGGUUAACAUUGAUAGGUGCAUUAUAUUGAGCAUGGCAGAUUUGACAUUUGAAACAUUGUUGAUGUUAAUAACCCAUUGAGUCGCAUUGCGCCCUGAUGCGCACUAAGUAUUUAUUAUUUUACUCUGGCUAUCUAACGCUAGCAAUUUUACUCAUCAAGGGGAGAGCACUGGCGGUUAAUGUGUUAACUAGCCUACCUGCUCAUGUGUACAUAGUUUACCCAUUGAGUCGCAUUGUGCCCUAAUGCGGCCUAAUUUAUUAUUUUACUCUGCCUAUCGCACGACAAUAUUAAGGGCAGAGCGCUGGCGCUUAAUGUGUUAACUAGCCUAUCUGCCCAUGUGUGUUGUUGACACAUUGAGUUGCAUUGUGCCCUAAUUUAUUAUUUUACUCUGUCUAACGCCAGAUGAUUUCACUCAUUAAGGGGAGAGCACUGGUGCUUAAUGGGGUUAACUGGCCUAUCUGCCCAUGUGUGUUGUUAACACAGUGAGUCGCAUUCUGCCCUAAUUUAUUAUUUUACUCUGUCUAACACCAGAUGAUUUUACUCGUCAAGGUAAGGGCGCUGGUGCUUAAUGGGUUUAACUGGCCUAUUUGCCCGUGUUUAUAGUUAACCCAUUGACUCGCAUUGCGACCUACUUUAUUUUUUUUACUCUGUUUUGAGAGGAGAACGCUGGUGCUUAAAUUAUGGGGUUAAUAUUGAAAAUAUAGAUCAACAUUUGUCAAAACGCAUGACUUGUGCAAUCAUUUCUGUAAGAUAUUAAGAUAUUAAUUACAAUACCAAAUAUAAUGCCUUAUGGCUUAUUUCAAAUAGGGAGAUGCUAUGUCCAUUGAAACUUAGUGGAUUUGUUGUAGUACAUCAAAUAAAUGCUAGCCAUAAACAUAUUCAAGUCAAUCGAAGAGAAUGUAGAAUUGCACUUUACAUAAAAUUCCCUAGUUAUUGUACAUUAAUGAAAAAAAAGCAUUUGAAAUGAAAUAUAUUGUUUUAAUUUUAUUUCUAUGGUUUGUACUAUGAUAUACAUGGGCUACACACUCUUUGGGAACCCGCAGGGCUGUUGGCAGAGCAUUUCCAUGAUCUGGAACUUCAGUCCUAAACACGAUGUGUGGGUGCGAAGAUGUUGUGUAGGAACAGAACUGUACAGAUUAGAAAUAUGAUUACUGAUAUUUUCCAAAGUAAAACUAUUAAUAUAUAGAAGAGGAGAGAAAGAGGCAAUUUGAAAUUUAAAAAUGGUAGGCUUAUUAAGGAUGAGAUACAGAGAAAAACAGUAAUGCAGAACUACAUUCUCUUAAAUUGUCAAAAUUAAAUGCUACCAAUCUUGGUCUUGUUUCAAACUUGAAUAACGAAAAGUCUAAAAAUAUAAAAACUAUAAGAACAGAUCAGCUAAGUCCAGUUAUAAAAUUAAAUGAUGAAGGAAAGCUAUCAUUUUAGGAAAGUGUUGUUUUGGGGUGUGUAAACUCAUGAGGUUACAUGCUUCUGGUGAAUCUGUGCUUGCUGCAGCAAAAAAUUAUUAAUCAUUUGUGAUAUAAUUCACAAGAUGUCUAUUUUAACCUGUGGGUUGUGGAAUUUGUUUUGUCUGACCAAGAUAUAAUGAAUACCACUAGUGACAUGAGCAUGUCCAAUUAAUAUUUAACUAGAAAUAAAUGCAUGCAGCAACCCCUUGCCUAUAUUUUCCAAACAUUGAUUUAACAUGAACUAUUAGCAAUUGGCCAGCACUGAACGCAGGCUCACGUUGUGUCAAGUUUUGUUAAGGCAACAUAAUGUCACAUAUUUUAAAUUUUUUUGAGUAAUUUUGCAAGUGUUCAUACCACAGAAUCUACCAUACAUAAUUUUAAACAAAUAGAUAGGUGAAGUAAUUCAAACAAAAUGAUUUUGAACUUUAUUACUCUACUCUGUCGAACGCCUAUUCUACUCGUAAAGGGGAGAGCCCUGGUGCUUAAUGGGUUAAAUAAGAUCGUAUAGUUAUAUGUAUAUCAUGUAUUAUGUUUUUAUGCAGUCUCCCUGAAUCACUUGUACCAGGCUAUGGAAAUUCAUGUUUCCAAUUUUGUAUUUUAAUUAUUUUUCUUAUGAUGCAGUAUACUGUAAAUUUGAAUAAUAUUUGUGUGCUUAUAGUGAGCUUAUUUUUAGGAGAGUUUGUUGCGAGGCAGCAUAUAUUUUGAUUUUUCAAAAUAUUACUGUAUGUUGGUAUGUUAUACUUAAUAUUAGAAUGUUAGGGUUUGGAAUCCAAGUGAGAAUAUAUACAUUUUAAGACCUAACCAGGAACGACUGCGAAAAAUGCAGCACAACGUCCUCUGGUAGGAAUCGAACCUACGGCCCUUCGAUUCCGGUGCAGCACUCUAACCAACUGAGCUACAGAGGCCAGCUGUUAAGCUGUAACCGUAAGUUCAUGUAUAUAUAGGUAAUCGGGUGUGCGGGUUGUGAUAAGGUGGACUUCAUGACUUAGAUUCUGCACUUCACUUGGUGGAAUUAAUAUUAGAAUGAAUCCAAGUGAGAAUAUAUACAUUUUAAGACCUAACCAGGAACAACUGCAAAAAAUGCAGCACAAGGUCCUCUGGUAGGAAUUGAACCUACGGCCCUGCGAUUCCGGUGCAGCGUUCUAACCAACUGAGCUAAUAAGGCCAGCUGUUGAGCUUUAACCGUAAGUUCACGUAUAUUUAGGUAAUCGGGUGUGCGGGUUGUGAUAAGGUGGACUUCAAUCAUUUGGAUUCUUGGACUUCACUUGUUGGAAUUAACAUUAGAAUGUUAGGGUUUGUAAUCCAAGUGAGAAUAUAUACAUUUUAAGACCUAACCAGGAACAACUGCGAAAAAUGCAGCACAAGGUCCUCUGGUAGGAAUUGAACCUACGGCCCUGCGAUUCCGGUGCAGCGCUCUAACCAACUGAGCUACAGAGGCCAGCCGUUAAGCUGUAACCGUAAGUUCAUGUAUAUAUAGGUAAUCGGGUGUGCGGGUUGUGAUAAGGUGGACUUCAUGACUUAGAUUCUGCAAGUGAAGACUUGGUGGAAUUAAUAUUAGAAUGAAUCCAAGUGAGAAUAUAUACAUUUUAAGACCUAACCAGGAACAACUGCGAAAAAUGCAGCACAAGGUCCUCUGGUAGGAAUCGAACCUACGGCCCUGCGAUUCCGGUGCAGCGCUCUGAGCUACAGAGGCCAGCUGUUAAGCUGUGACCGUAAGUUUGUGUAUAUAUAAGGUAAUCGGGUGUGCGGGUUGGGAUAAGGUGGAUUUCAUCAUGAUUGUAAUAUUAAUUCCACCAAGUGAAGUGCAGAAUCUAAGUCAUGUUAUACUUAAUGCUUUUGGAAGAGUUAUAGGGGUCGGGUGUGAUAUACUUUUUCAGGUAUUUUGUGUCUGAUGUAUGUAAGAGCUUUAUUAUUGGGUUUCUUGGUGAGACCUUAUAUCUUAUGUGUCCUAUAACCCCCUGUAAUUGCGGAUUAUUGCAUACAUUCUAAUUGUUUUUUUUUGUAGGAGUCUGAAGAUGCAAAUGAUACAAUUUCAAACUUAUCACAACCCAUAUUGUGGUCGUUGGCAUCGAACUUACUAGAAUACGACUAGAAACUGUCAAUCAUACGUUAUCGAGGGAAAGGAUGAAAGUUCCAUAACAAGCAACAGUUGUUUUGAUGCAAUUAUC